rnacentral:lncRNA from 1 species
GGCGCGGACCCUGGGCCCCGACCCCGCGGUCGCCGGGGCUCCCCUUCCUCUGUCCCAGUGCGCCCAGCCCCGCGCUCCGCACCCGGGCACCCCCGCGGGGUUCUCCUGAGUUCCUGGAGCUCCCGGGGCUGGCGCUCACGCCGUGAGAGGGGUGCGCCCUUAGGGGGGCGGGACGGACGGGGGGUUUCUACGGGAGGUAGGAAACGGGCGGCUUGCAAGGCGCGGGCUUAGGCCGGAGCCUGGUGGUGCGAGGUCCCCAGCUCGGAUUUCUCCCUGGUGGAGAGUCCCGGAGCAGAACAAACCAGCAGAGGCUCUGGAAAGGGUCCUCCUGAGCACGUGGCUCAUUCAUUCAUUCGACAAACGUUACCUGAGCGCCUGCCCACUCAUUGCCCGAGUGUGCUGGGAGCGCCGCACCAACUGCCUGGUAGGUGGGAGAAGGGACACGUCAGGUAACAAACAGCACAGAAAAGAGAGGUUAAAACCAAGACAUGGACAAAGCCUCCGAAUGAAGGCAGCCCUUUAAAUGGAAUAAAUUUGGUUUCAUGGCACAUUAAUGGGGUGUCUUCUCUCCGAAGACACAGAGACAACUACAGUAGGUCUGGGGGCCGUCAGGGAUUGGAGGAACGAAGGUAAGAAAAGGAAGAAGGUAAGAAAAAGAGGUCCCUACCUCUGUGAGGUAGGGACAGUGCUGAACAGCAGGGCUGGGAGAGCCCACAGGGAGGUGGCCAGGAUGGCCACAGGGCCUGGGGAGGACCAGGUGGGGCACCAUCCUGCGGUAGAGAAUGCCCGUCACCUGCCCUAGGGGCCACCCAGAAUGCAGAUUAAAUAAGUAUUUGGGAAUGGCACAGGAGCUUUUCCAUUUUCGUGGGUUAGAGGAAAGCUGCUGCGUUCAAGAGGAUAACGUGGGACCUGAGCAUUCUGGUAAGUCAACCCCACAUUCAUGGAAAGCCACGGGCUCUGUUUUACUGAUAAGGAACUGAAGUCCCACAGAGGAAGUGGCCAGGCUCACUCACACACAGCAUGCACUUGAAGCUUUCUGUGGAAAUCAGAAACCUCCGGGGCUCAGGCGCUGUAGUGGUGGCCUGGUGACUCUGACCCCUUGAAGGAGAAGCAUCUGUGAAGGUGCUGUCCAGGACAAGUAGGGUGCUCUACGGUAAAGGACAUGGUGGCCUGACCUGCUCCAGAGCAGGGAGGCCUCCCUUGAGGAAAUAAGAUAAACCCAGACUUUAAGGAUAAGCAGAAACCAGCUAGGUGAACUGGAGUGGGAACAGCACGUGAAAAGGCCCUGGUUUAGGAAGGAGCACCACUCCUUCAGAGCACAGAAAGGCCAGGAUGGCCGAAGCAUAGGGAACAACAGGAAAGUGACAUAAAUUGAGGCUGCAGAGGUAGAAGAAGGGCCUUAUUGGUCGUGCUAGGAAUUUGGAAUUCUGCAAAGAAGCCUGGGAAACAGAUUUUGGUGACACUCGCCUUCUCUUUAAUGUGCAGUUUCAGUUCUGUUGGUGUGAUUCUGCAUUGGAGAUGGCGUGCUGUAACGAAUGGCCAGGAGCUUAAGAGUCAUGCAGACUUGGGAGGCCUGGCCUUGCCACGCCCAGCUGCAUGGCCAUCCUCCUCCUGUUUCUGGCCGUUCUGUUUCUAAACCUUGGGGUUCUGAUAUUCCUACAUGUAAACUAGGGGCUGUAAUAGGAAUCUCACAGGUGAGUCUUAGGAUUAUAAGAGGAGACAUGACUGCAUGUGUAAGACAUCAUAAUGAUGUGCUUCCUCAUCUGACCCUACCUCCAGGUUCUUUGAUAACCUCAUGGUUCCCAUUUUCUAGAACAGUUGCCACUUGCACUCAGAUAAAGGUGACUCACUGAAUGCAUAAAUAAGUGUAGUGCCGGAUUUGCAUACUUUUGGUAGACUGUCAUAUAAUAAAUUUAUAAAUCAGAAUUUUAAAACUCCAGGUGGGGCCGGGCACAGUGGCCCAUGCUUGUAAUCCCAGCCAGCAUUUUGGGAGGCUGAGGCAGGCAGAUCACUUGAGGUCAGGAGCUCGAGGUCAGCCUGGCCAACCAGGGUUUUAGUAGAAACCCUGUCUGUACUAAAAAUACAAAAAUUAGCUGGGCGUGGGUGCGCAUACCUGUAGUCCCAGCUACUCAGGAGGCUGAGGCAGGAGAAUUGUUUGAACCCAGGAGGUGGAGAUUGCAGUGAAGCAAGAUCGCACCGCUGCACUCCUGCCUGGGUGACAGAGUGAGACUCCAUCUCAAAAACAAACAAAACAAAACUCCAGGUGGACCACGGGCCAGGUGGUUGUAGCUUCAGUCCCUUGAUUGCAACAUGUGCCCAAGUUUGGCUGAGAUGUACCUGUAGCCACGGUCCUUGAAGCCCUGAGAAGAUUUGUCAGCAUCCCCACGGUGCUCCAGCAGUGCUCUCAUCUUGUGGCUCUAAAUCGAGUCCAUGGCCCUCUCUCACUGUCCUAUGGUUGCAUAAGCUCAGAACUGGCUUCGUCUCCAAUUCCAGGAGCCCUGGAGGUUGUGGCCUGUUGACAUUUUUACCUCCUGAGUCAAUGUGGCUGGGCCACAGGUCUCAGUUGCCCUCCCAGGCAUCUUGCAGGACUUGGAUCUGUGCCAAGCUUGUGGGUGUGAACAAGCCCAAGAAUGCUGAGGCUCUCAGUUGCUCAGUGCUGCCCAUCACUGGGAUUUCAGAGUAGUGACCCCCCUCCUCCAAGAUACAACAGAAUCUUGCUUUGGGGCCAUGAAGAACACAAUCAAUAUUACAGUUUUAAAUCUUGAAAAGUACAGUUUUAAUUUUUUUAAUUCCAAAAAAUUUCACACAUGUGCACUGCAAAUUCAGGAGGUAAAUUCAGCAAAAUCUUGCCUGGUGGAGGUACCAGAAGGCACAGUGAGUCAAUGGGGCAUGUUUCUCAGUCGGUGGGGAGAGAUGAGAAUGGAACAGGGAUGUGGAGAUUUUAUGCAGGAAAAGGGGCCUGACCACAGAUUUUUUGCCCUUUGAAAGGAGAGGAACAAGGCCUAUGCCCACUGCCUCUUGGAUUCAGUGGGAGAUCUGGGCAUCAUACUGGAUGACCAGGCAUGUAGUCACAAUGCACAAUGCCACCCAGCCCAAAAGUGUAUAUUCAAGACUUUAGACCCAACUUCGUGCUUACAGGAAAUAGAGGAGGUUGAGGAACAAGUGACACCAUAAGAAAUACAGUGAAACAGGCCAGGCACCGUGGCUCAUGCCUGUAACUCUGAGCACUUUGGGAGGCCGAGAUGGGCAGAUCACCUGAGGUCAGGAGUUCAAGACUAGUCUGGCCAACGUGGUGAAACCCCAUCUCUACUAAAAAAAAAUAUCUGGGCAUGGUGGCAGGCACCUGUAAUCCCAGCUACUCAAGAGGCUGAGGCAUGAGAAGCACUGGAACCCGGGAGGCCGAGGUUGCAGUGAACAGAGAUCGUGCCAUUGCACUCCAGCCUGGGGGAACAAGAGUGAAACUCCAUCUCAAAAAAAAAAAAAAAAGACACUGAAACAAAGCCAGAAGGUAGAAUAUUCUUUCAGGUAGUAGUCUGGUCUCUUCAAUAGUCAAUAUUAUAGAGCAAGAAGGGGCCAGUGGAGAAGAGCUGUUCUAGAUUUUAAAAGAUGUAAGAAAUACAACAUUUGGCCGGGCGCGGUGGCUCACGCCUGUCAUCCCAGCACUUAGGUAGGCCGAGGUGGGCGGAUCAUGAGGUCAGGAGAUCGAGACCAUCCUGGCUAACAUGGUGAAACCCCGUCUCUACUAAAAAUAGAAAAAAUUAGCCGGGCAUGGUGGCAUGCACCUGUAGUCCCAGCUACUCAGGAGGUUGAGGCAGGAGAAUGGCGUGAACCCGGGAGGCGGAGCUUGCAGUGAGCCGAGAUCGCGCCACUGCACUCCAGCCUGGGUGACAGAGCAAGACUCCAUCUCAAAAAAAGAAAAGAAAAGAAAUACAACAUUUAAAUGCACUGUGUUAUCCUUAAUUGGAAACUGCUUUAAUUAUCCAACACUAAAAAAAUGUCAAGGGCAAGAGGUGGUUUGAACUAUGGACUGGUGUUAGAUGAUGUAUUUUUUUUAUUUUGUUAAGUAUAAUAAUAGUUGUUAUGGUUAGGUGGGAAAAGAUCCUUAAAUUUUAGAGCUGCAUGCUGGAGUAUUUAGAAGUGAACCGUCAUUGUAUUUGUUAUUUAAAAUACUACAGGAAUAAACAAGAUGAAGCAAAAUUGCUCAGUCUAGAUAUGGGUCUAUGAGUGUUUCAUCUUUCUACUUUUUUCUCCAUGUUUGAAAUCCUUGGUAAAAUAAAGUCAAAGUGGAGGAAGGAGGAGCUUGAGAUUGAAAAAUCAGUUUGAGAAGCAGCCACCUUGACUGGCUUCACUCUAAUAGCCUGGACGCUGCCUCCACACUCCAGGUGCACUGCUCAGCAUUCUCCAAGAAGAUCAUUAAGGCAGACCCUACGUGUUAAAUUUCAAUCAGUUUCAUUGAGCAAAUAUGCUGUUAAAUAGAGACUGCUGUGUGCUGCGUCAGUGUGCCUUAUGGGCAAAUGUGAUGGUGACUAUAAAUGCAGACCAAGCAGUCCUUCCCACACUGUGUACACAAAGAAAGGAGCUCUGGAACUGGGAGCCAGGACAUCUGCAGGAGGAGAAUUCUGAAGUGAAAGGAGGCCUGGAUAUUGGUUGCAAGGCCUUGUCCCUGGAGCCUGGAUGCUCUCAUACCUUCUACAUCUGGGCCUCUGGGUCCAGGACAGUGCCAGGGAGAGUUCAUAGAAACAAAUGUGUUGAAGACCUUAGCGGUUGUCUGACUCUGAGACAGUUACCUGGCCACUCUUAAGUUUCCUCAUUUUUUUUUUAAUUUUACUUUAAGUUGCGGGAUACAUGUGCAGAACGUGCAGGUUUGUUACAUAGGUAUGCAUGUGCCAUGGUGGUUUGCUGCACCUGUCAACCUUUCAUCUAGGUUUUAAGCCCCUCAUGCAUUAGAUAUUUGUCCUAAUGCUCUCCUUCCCCUUGGCCCCCUGUCAGGUCCUGGUGUGUGUGUUGUCUGGCCCCCACCGUGUCCAUGUGUUCCUAUUGUUCAUCUCCCAUUUAUGAGUGAGAAUAUGUGGUGUUUGGCUUUCUCUUCCUGUGUUAGUUUGCUGAGGAUGAUGGUUUCCAGCUUCAUCCAUGUCCCUGCAGAGGACAUGAUCUCAUCCUUUUCAUGGCUGCAUAGUAUUCCGUGUUGUGUAUAUACCACAUUUUCUUUAUCCAGUCUUUCAUUGGUGGACAUUUGGGUUGGUUUCAUGUCUUUGCUAUUGUAAAUAGUGCUGCAAUAAACAUUAUGUGUGCAUGUGUCUUUAUAGUAAAAUGAUUUCUAUUCCUUUGGGUAUAUACCCAGCAAUGGGAUUACUGGGUCACAUGAUAUUUUUUGGUUCUAGGUCCUUGAGGAAUCGCCACACUGUCUUCCACAAUGGUUGAACUAAUUUACGUUCCCACCAUCAGUGUAAAAGUGUUCCUAUUUCUCCACAGCCUCACCAGCAUCUACUGUUUCUUGACUUUUUAAUCACUGCCAUUCUGACUGGCAAGAUUUCCUCAUUUUUAAGAUAGUGUGACUUCUAGGGUGUUGUGAAGAUUUAAUGAAAUAAUGGUAGCAGAGCUUAGCCCAGGUAAGGACUCUGGAUGAAACAAUGGUUUUCCUACGCUGGACAUCAGGUGGUGCAGGACUGUGAUCCCUGAAAGGAGUAAAACAACUGAGGUGCACCCUGUGGUUGCCCAGCUUCCUUCCUGGAGGCAGCUUUGGGCUGCGCACAGGAGGGAGAACUCAACUGAACCCUGAGUCUCACUGGGUGGAAAAAGAUAAUGGAGUUCAGAGAAGCGAAGUCACUAGGAUUCGCAGGUCAGAGUACCCAGGAUGAGGGAGCUGCUCACCCAAAGAGAGAACACCAGAGUUCUGCAGAAGGGCCACCCUAAGUCUCUGUCUGAAUGCUGAUCUCUGCAUCUGUGGAGUGAAGCUCCGUGAGGCUGGCAGCAGAAAGGACACCAGAGAGUACCAGGCCUGGAAUAAUUCAGAAAACUCACACAGUACUCAAUGUUCCCUCCAGCCAGUGUGGAAAUACCUCACAAUAUAGAGGGUAUCAGGCAAAGUCCUCCAAAAGAUCACAGCUUUAAACCAAAGGCUACUCUGGUAAGUAAUAAAACUUAAAAGCCAACUCAAGAGAAUGAAACUGAGCUCAAGUUACUUGCUGCAUGCUGGAAUGAAGUACAGCAGUGUUUAAUCACAACAAUGUAAAAUCACAAUGUCUAGCAUCCAGUCAAAAAUUACUAGCCAUGCAAAGAUGCCAGAAAAUAUGGCCCCCAACCAGGGGAAAAAGUCAGUAGAAACAAAUGCAGAAAUGACAAGGAUGAUGGAAUUAGCAGACAGAGGCCUGAAAACAGUGUUAUAAAUACACUCUAUGUGACCAGAGAGAUAGAGGAAACUAUGAACAUAAUAAGGAAAGAACCAGAGGCCAGGGAAGCCAGAGCCAGUGCUUUCAUGGGAGCUGCGAUUGUCAUGUGGGACUGGUGUAGAUGAUCUCUGAGGUCCCUAAUUCUAGCCAGCAAAUUCUGGUAUUCUCAGUUUCUUCCUUUUAAACUUAGGCAGAAGUGAUCCUUCCUAUCUCUGGUUGGGAGCACUCACUGUUGCUACUGUUCUGAGCUCUGCGAAUUAUAGUGGCUGCCUACUGUAACUGUGUCCCCACUCACUCCUCUUUUGGUAACACCAUCCUGAUUGUUCUUUGGGGAUCCACUAUUAUGGGCUGAAUGAUGUCCCCCCAAAAUGCAUAUGUUAAAGUCCUAAUCCCCAGUACCUGAGAGUGUGACUGUAUUUUGGAGAUAGAGCCUUGAAAGAGGUCAUUAAGGUAAAAUGGGUGAGCACUAAUCCAAUUUGAUUGAUGUCAUCACAAGCAGAGGAAAUUUAGGGCUGGGCCAGGUGCUCAUACCUGUAAUCCCAGCACGUCGGGAGGCCAAGGUGGGAGGAUCACUUGAGGCCAGGAGUUUGAGACCAGCCUGAGCAACAUAGUGAGAUCCUGUCUCUACAAAUGAAAAAGAGGAAAUUUGUACUCACAUAGAGACACUAGGGCUGCACACACAUACAGACCAUGUGAGGAGAAGGUGGCCAUCUACAAGCCAAGGAGAAGAGGCCUCAGAGGAAACUCGAUCUGCCCACAACUUGAUCUCAGACCUCCAGCCUCCAGAACUGUGAGAAAAUGAUUUCUGUCGUUUAAGCCUCCCAGUCUGUGAUAUUCUAUUCUAGAAGCUCCAGGAAACUAGUACAUCCACCCUCCCCUACUCCCAGUCCAAGAAGUUCAGGAGGGACAGACCCUCCCCUUCCCACUGCCUGCUAGGGGUUGUCUCAUGACCCAGGUCCUGGCAAUCAGUGAAUGCCAUUGUUCUUGGCCCAGCACUUAAUUCAGGGACCCAUCUAUUGACUCAGUUUAGAGUUUCUGAUGGACCUGAAGGAACAAGACACUCUCUUCCGUGGACUUUUCAGUUACAUGAAACACGCAUGACUUUUUUUGUUGUUGUUUUUUGUUUUUUGUGUUUUUUUUUGAGACAGAAUCUCUGUCGCCCAGGCUGGAGUGCAGUGGCACGAUCUCGGCUCAUUGCAACCUGCACCUCCUGGGUUCAAGCGAUUCUCCUGCCUCAGCCUCCCGAGUAGCUGGGACUACAGGCGCCCGCCACUAUGCCUGGCUAAUUUUUGUAUUUUUAGUAGAGACAGGGUUUCACCAUAUUGGCCAGGCUGGUCUUGAAUUCCUGACCUCAUGAUUCGCCCACCUCAACCUCCCAAAGUGCUGGGAUUACAGGUGUGAGUCACCACGCCUGGCCUUUUUUCUUAAAACUAUUUGAACUGAGUUUAUGCACUAACGGUAGAAAAAAGCCAUGACUAUAAAAUUGCAGGGCUUGGGUCAAACAGAUGUCAGGAGGCUCCAAGUUCAGCCACCUCCUAAUCAUAACACCUUAAAUGAAUGAGUCUCAGCCUCAGUCUCCAAUUCUGAACUAAUCCUUGCCUUGUAGGAUGGUUGGAAAGAUUCAACAAAAAAGAAUGCACUGGCACAUCGUAGGUGCUCAGUACACAUGGCUGGCGUUUCUCCUUGCUGACUCUGCAGUCCCCUGCACAGGAGCUGUGAGGCUGCCCUCUGUCGUACAUCCUCACCCAGAGCCAUCCCAAAGGCUAAGGACAGGAUGGGGGCUGCAGAGCUGGGGGCUGGCCAUACUCCAGGGUCUGGCUGUCACCAUCUGAAGGUUCAAACCACAGCUGCUGCAGCUUCCUCUUCAGAGCCUCGGAGCCUGAUUCCUUUACCCAGGAGGGUCCUUGUGAACAUGCCAAGCUUCCCAGUUACUGCCAGAGUCUGGAUGAGUUCCUACCGUGUGCCAGACCUCCCAUCUUCCCAUGGUUGGAUGAGUGCCUACUGCGUGCCAGAUCUUAACAUUCAUCCCACGGUUCUGCUGAUACAUCAGAAGGCACACUGGGGGCAGGCUCCAGAGGUGUGAUUCAAGGAAGUCCAACACACAAACCCACACCUUUCCCCUCCUCGGACAUGACUGCAGGCUUAAGGUGUCCAGAAGAAAGAGAAACUCCUACUAGCUGGAGGAACUGGGGAAAGUGGACCAAGAGGUGACCUCUGGGGGCAAGGGCGGGCGUGAUGGAAACACGUCAUUCCAGGCAGAAGGAACGGUCCUUGUUGGCAGAGUGCUCAGUGCCUGGGACUGGAGGAUGGGGGUAGGUGGACAGUGAGUGGCAGGAUAUGGGGCCAGAGGGUUGGGGUCUGAGAUCACUGAGCCCAGGGAGUAGCACAAUCUGAAACUAUGCCUUAGGGAGCUCACCCUGGUGGCAGUAGGGAAGAUAGACUGCGGAGGGAAAAAACUGGAAUCCGGGAAAUGGGUUAAGGUGUUUGUGGAAUGAAUGUCUAAAGAAAGGAAGGAAGGACUGAAUAAAUGGGGGUCUUGAGCAACUCGGCCUCCCUUCUGGGUGCUGCAGGGGCUGUGUAUGGCACGGAGAGAUACAAGCCCAAGUGCCCUGCCCUGGGCACCAGCUGACCUGGCCCAUGUAAGGGAGCAGCUGAUUGACAGUGGAGAAUACGUAGCAAUCCCAAUUAACCUUUUUUUGAACCUGGACAAGCCAUCUGAAAGUAAGCAUCACAGGGCACCCACUCCCAGACCUUUUCCCAGAAGAGAACACGCCAAGGACCUUCAAAUAUAUUCGCAAACCCGUUACUGGGCUCUGUCUUUCUGGUUCCAUGGCUGGGCCCUGAAUCAGGCGCUGCAGAGCCACCCAGGGGACCCAAGGUCAGCGGUGGAGUCAUGAGAACAUCUGAGGCAGGACCACAGCCAGAUGCAGGCAGGUAAACACACUGCUCCCUGCUUGGCUGUCAUCCAGGAACCAGGACCGGACCACAGGAAAUGAGGAAGUCACUUUUGGGCCAAGCCAGAUGCACAACCAGGCCUAGCAGGAGGCUGUGGAGCACACAGGGCCCAGCUCAGGUGGGAACUGAGUGUACAGUGCACUGAGUGCUGGGCAUCGCAGGCCUUGGGGACACAAUGAUGGCCAAGAGAUGUUUCUGCCUCCCCCCGGGAGCUCCUGGUCCAGAGGGAACAAGAGACUAGGAAAAGCUACAGUGGAAAGGUGUGCAUGCAAGGUAGAGUAGAUACAGCUGGGGCCAUGAGUCUGAAAACGAGCCACUGUUCCACCAUCUGAAGGACUUUGGGCACAUCCA